rnacentral:rRNA from 1 species
UACGUAGGGAGCAAGCGUUGUCCGGAAUCAUUGGGCGUAAAGCGCGCGUAGGUGGCUCUGUAAGUCCGUUGUGAAAGUCAAAGGCUCAACCUUUGAAAGCCGAUGGAUACUGCAGAGCUAGAGUACGGAAGAGGCGAGUGGAACUCCUGGUGUAGCGGUGGAAUGCGCAGAUAUCAGGAAGAACACCGACGGCGAAGGCAGCUCGCUGGGACGGUACUGACGCUGGAGGCGCGAAAGCGUGGGGAGCGAACAGG